CUGUCCUGGGAUGUUACAUUGAUAACAGAGGUCUUCUGGUCUCUGGUCUACCAGCAUCGGUCUCUGAUGGUAGAGAUGUCUGGGUCGGCCUGUCCUGGGACUUUACAUUGAUAACAGAGGUCUUCUGGUCUCUGGUCUACCAGCAUCGGUCUCUGAUGGUAGAGAUGUCUGGGUCGGCCUGUCCUGGGAUGUUACAUUGAUAACAGAGGUCUUCUGGUCUCUGGUCUACCAGCAUCGGUCUCUGAUGGUAGAGAUGUCUGGGUCUGCCUGUCCUGGGACUUUACAUUGAUAACAGAGGUCUUCUGGUCUCUGGUCUACCAGCAUCGGUCUCUGAUGGUAGAGAUGUCUGGGUCGGCCUGUCCUGGGAUGUUACAUUGAUAACAGAGGUCUUCUGGUCUCUGGUCUACCAGCAUCGGUCUCUGAUGGUAGAGAUGUCUGGGUCGGCCUGUCCUGGGACUUCACAUUGAUAACAGAGGUCUUCUGGUCUCUGGUCUACCAGCAUCGGUCUCUGAUGGUAGAGAUGUCUGGGUCGGCCUGUCCUGGGACUUUACAUUGAUAACAGAGGUCUUCUGGUCUCUGGUCUACCAGCAUCGGUCUCUGAUGGUAGAGAUGUCUGGGUCGGCCUGUCCUGGGACUUUACAUUGAUAACAGAGGUCUUCUGGUCUCUGGUCUACCAGCAUCGGUCUCUGAUGGUAGAGAUGUCUGGGUCUGCCUGUCCUGGGACUUCACAUUGAUAACAGAGGUCUUCUGGUCUCUGGUCUACCAGCAUCGGUCUCUGAUGGUAGCUGCUUUUCCAAAAUGUCUGUUGAGUGGACGACUGUUGGUGAGAGAAGGGAAGUGGAGUAGCUUGAUUUAACACUUGUGUUGGUUAGAAGGUUAAAACAAGUUGCUGUUCUGACGUUAGAUGCUUGUUGUUAUCGAUGCCCUCCCAAUGGCACCCUAUUCCCCAUAUAGAGCACGACUGUUGACCAGGGCCCUAUUCCCCAUAUAGAGCACGACUGUUGACCAGGGCCCUAUUCCCCAUAUAGAGCACGACUGUUGACCAGGGCCCUAUAGCACCCUAUUCCCCAUAUAGAGCACGACUGUUGACCAGGGCCCUAUAGCACCCUAUUCCCCAUAUAGAGCACGACUGUUGACCAGGGCCCUAUAGCACCCUAUUCCCCAUAUAGAGCACGACUGUUGACCAGGGCCCUAUAGCACCCUAUUCCCCAUAUAGUCCACUACAUUUGAUCAGGGCCCUAUAGCACCCUAUUCCCUAUAUAGUCCACUACAUUUGACCAGGGCCCUAUAGCACCCUAUUCCCUAUAUAGUACACUACAUUUGACCAGGGCCCUAAAGCACCCUAUUCCCCAUAUAGUCCACUACAUUUGACCAGGGCCCUAUAGCACCCUAUUCCCUAUAUAGCCCACUACAUUUGACCAGGGCCCUAUAGCACCCUAUUCCCUAUAUAGCCCACUACAUUUGACCAGGGCCCUAAAGGAGUGCAGGAUAUAGGGAAUAGGGAGCCAUUUUGGGGCCCUAUAACAUGUUUCUGGAGCUCUGACAUAAAGACGAGGAACACAGCAGAGGUUUAUAGACAGUUUGAACAUUUUAUCAUUCAUCCAUGGGGCGGCAGCGUAGCCUAGUGGUUAGAGCGUUGGACUAGUAACCGGAAGGUUGCGAGUUCAAACCCCCGAGCUGACAAGGUACAAAUCUGUCGUUCUGCCCCUGAACAGGCAGUUGACCCACUGUUCCCAGGCCGUCAUUGAAAAUAAGAAUAUGUUCUUAACUGACUUGCCUGGUUAAAUAAAGGUAAAAUGUAAUUAAAUCCAUGUUGAUACCCAUGGUGCUUUGCAAGAAUGUAUACAGCUCAACCAACAUUUGGUUAGUCAGAAUGAUUAUUUUAAUUUCCACUCUACUUCUUCUCCGUUGAUUUGCUUUCCAUUAAACCAGGGUGUAAUGGAUGUGUACAGCCCAUUCAAUACUACAAGAAGCUGUUGGAACUAAAUUAAAUGUGGAUUUUUUUGUUGUUUUGUUUUGUUUUGUUUUUUUAAAUAAAAUGAAUGAACUUUCAUCUUGAA